UACGGAGGGUGCAAGCGUUAUCCGGAUUUACUGGGUUUAAAGGGUGUGUAGGCGGACUUUUAAGUCCGUGGUGAAAUCUCCGGGCUCAACCCGGAAACUGCCAUGGAUACUAUUGGUCUUGAAUAUUGUUGAGGUGGGCGGAACGGGUCAUGUAGCGGUGAAAUGCAUAGAUAUGACCCGGAGCACCGAUUGCGAAGGCAGCCCACUAAGCAAUGAUUGACGCUGAGGCACGAAAGCGUGGGGAUCAAACAGG
rnacentral:rRNA from 1 species